CCCAGUUUGAUCCGGGCUCAGGAUUAACGCUGGCGGCGUGCCUGAGACAUGCAAGUCGAACGGGUGACUCGGGCUUGCUCGAGUCGCUAGUGGCGAACGGCUGAGUAACACGUAGGUGACCUGCCCCGAAGUGGGGAAUAACUGCCCGAAAGGGUGGCUAAUACCGCAUGUGGUCGCACGUUCGGUCGUGCGAGUAAAGCCGCAAGGCGCUUCGGGAGGGGCCUGCGUCCGAUUAGCUCGUUGGUGGGGUAACGGCUCACCAAGGCGACGAUCGGUAGGUGGUCUGAGAGGACGAUCACCCAGACUGGGACUGAGACACGGCCCAGACUCCUACGGGAGGCAGCAGUCGGGAAUUUUGCUCAAUGGGCGCAAGCCUGAAGCAGCAACGCCGCGUGAGGGAUGAAGGCCUUCGGGUUGUAAACCUCUUUUCUCAGGGACGAUGAUGACGGUACCUGAGGAAGAAGCCACGGCAAACUACGUGCCAGCAGCCCCGGUCAA
rnacentral:rRNA from 1 species